rnacentral:lncRNA from 1 species
CGACCUUGCGCGAUGUCUUUCUGAACUCUCCUGGCUGUCUGAGCUUCCACAAUGCCAUCCGGACUUCUCCAAUAAUGAGCUCCCCCAUUCAUCUAUCGGGCUGCUCCAAAUGCUUUUCGAGCUUCUCCAACAGCAGGACAUCUACAGUAACCAGACUCCAUCCAAGUUUCUAGGCGGUCGAUCGCCUUCUGGAUUUCAUCCGAGCUCUUACAAGAGUUAGACUCCAUUCGAACUUCUACAGUGGAUGGAUCACAGACGAACUCCUAUAAUGGACAGGCUCCAUCAGUCGGAUCUCUACUCUGAACUUCUUUCAGACUUCGUCAAUGACCGAGCUUCUCCAGCAGCGGGACUUCUACAGUAAGAAGUCUCCAUCCGAGCUUCCACGAUAAUGGGUCUUCGUCCGAGCUUCUACAAUAAGCGGACUUCAUCCAGACUCCAACAAGAAUCGGAUUUCGUCUGAAUUUCUACAAUAGAAUUGAAUCCCAGACUCCUCCAAUGUUUGACCUUCCCCAGUGUCUUCAAGACUCCCCCAGCAGAUGAACCUCCACAACGCCAUCCGAACUCCACUGUCGGACGACCCCCUGUC